GACAACAACAAUUUAAACUAAAACAACGACAACAAUUUAUGAUCGAACGAAUACCAUGUUUUUCUUCGGUCCUUGCGAAAUCAAAGGAACGCCUGCUUGCGGUUCGGAGCUUCCUCUGUUCCGUCGGGUUGGACUCGGAGCUAGAUCAGAUAGGAUCAGAUCGCUGGCGUUUUGAGUCUUGAUGCACAGUCAUGGCUCACAAGUCACAUUUGCCCCCUUUUU
rnacentral:lncRNA from 1 species